rnacentral:rRNA from 1 species
UGGGGAAUUUUGGUCAAUGGCCGAAAGGCUGAACCAGCGACGCUGCGUGCGGGAGGAAGCCCCUCGGGGUGUAAACCGCUGUCAGAGGGGAAGAACCGUGGGAUGGUGAACAGUCAUCCCGCCUGACGGUACCCUCAAAGGAAGCGCCGGCUCACUCCGUGCCAGCAGCCGCGGUAAGACGGAGGGUGCUAGCGUUGUUCGGAAUUACUGGGCGUAAAGGGCGCGUAGGCGGCCUGGGAAGUCGGCUUGUGAAAGCCCGGGGCUCAACCCCGGAGGUGCGGCCGAGACUCCCUGGCUGGAGGCCGGAAGAGGAGGGUGGAAUACCCAGUGUAGAGGUGAAAUUCGUAGAUAUUGGGUGGAACACCGGUGGCGAAAGCGGCUCUCUGGUCCGGACCUGACGCUGAGGCGCGAAAGCGUGGGGAGCAA